rnacentral:rRNA from 1 species
UACGUAGGGGGCAAGCGUUGUCCGGAAUUAUUGGGCGUAAAGAGCGUGUAGGCGGCCAGAUAAGUCCGCUGUGAAAUCUCGAGGCUCAACUUCGAGCUGUCGGUGGAAACUAUCUGGCUAGAGUCCGGAAGAGGAGAAUGGAAUUCCUGGUGUAGCGGUGAAAUGCGCAGAUAUCAGGAGGAACACCAGUGGCGAAGGCGGUGCUCUGGGCCGGAACUGACGCUGAGGAGCGAAAGCGUGGGGAGCAAACAGG